rnacentral:rRNA from 1 species
GACGAACGCUGGCGGCGUGCUUAACACAUGCAAGUCGAACGAAGUGGCGAACGGGUGAGUAACGCGUAAUCCACAUGCCCUUCAGAGGGGGACAACAGUUGGAAACGACUGCUAAUAACGCAUACUGAAGGAAGGGAUUGCGUCUGAUUAGCUAGUUGGAGGGGUAACGGCACACCAAGGCGAUGAUCAGUAGCCGGUCUGAGAGGAUGAACGGCCACAAUGGGACUGAGACACGGCCCAGACGCAUACGGGAGGGCGCAGUGGGGAAUCUUCCGCAACGGACGAAAGUCUGACGGAGCAGCGCCGCGUGAGUGAUGACGGCCUUCGGGUUGUAAAGCUCUGUUAAUCGGGACGCGGUACCGGAACAGAAAGCCACGGCUAACUACGUGCCAGCAGCCGCGGUAAUUC